rnacentral:snoRNA from 1 species
UCCCUCUCAGGGUCGCACCUGGAGAGUUUCCAGUCCUCUACCAGUCUCGACUACGGGAGGGAGAGUCAAGCAGAAGCCUGUCCAUUCCAUUCCUAGCUUGGGCAGUGGUUAGUGAAUGGAAAGCAAUCUGCUAUAAGU